rnacentral:rRNA from 1 species
UACGGAGGGGGCAAGCGUUGUUCGGAAUUACUGGGCGUAAAGCGCGCGUAGGCGGCGAUGCAAGUCAGAGGUGAAAUGCCCGGGCUCAACCUGGGAGGUGCCUUUGAUACUGUGUUGCUUGGAUCCAGGAGAGGUGAGCGGAAUUCCGAGUGUAGAGGUGAAAUUCGUAGAUAUUCGGAGGAACACCAGUGGCGAAGGCGGCUCACUGGCUCGAUACUGACGCUGAGGUGCGAAAGUGUGGGGAGCAAACAGGAUUAGAUACCCGCGUAGUCC